CCUGUAUUAAUUGAUUUUUAAUUACGCUGAUUUGUACAUAAAUACUAAAUACCCCUUUCUGGAGCAGCAUUUUGCUAAAACCCAACUUGCUCCGUUAUAUCGAAAGACAACUGAUCAGACGAUCACCAUGAAAACAUCACAGUCAGUCAUUAUUGCUUUGUGCCUUCUUGUCGUCUGCGCCAGUGCUGUCCCAAUGUACCGCCACAAGAAAGGUUUCGGGCCACCAAUUAUGCCGGUGCCAUUCCAUCCAUAUCCAAUGUAUGGACCACAGCGAAGAAACGGAUUCAAUAACGGACUUACACUUCUCACCUCGGCAGCUCUUCUUGGCUCCGGAAAUCCAUUCGGACAGGCCCUUGGCGGUGUAGGACUUUUCAGUCUGCUUUAAGAAAACCAUCAACAACUGCAUAAACCCAUGAUUCGGAGGGGACGUUUCUGCCAUAGCCUCGAGAAACCUGUGCAGAUUUAAUGUUUAUUUAUUUAUUUAUUUAUUUAUUUAUUCGUUAAUUUAUUUAUUUACUGUACAUCUACUUAUUUUUGAAUGCCAUGCUUGUUUAAUAAAUUAUUUCAUUUCAAAAUA